GAAACACUACAAACACACUAAAAUGAACAAACUGCAAAACUCCCUCUCCAAUAGUCUACCCCACCCAACCAAGUCCAUCUUCAACAUCCACGUCCAGAUCUUCUCCAACUAGCCAUCCACCUCCAUAGCUUCUCCUAGAUCUUCAUCAACUUCCAUUUCCUCGUCCACCUCCGCGUCUACCUCCAUUUCCUCCACCCACUCAUCUACUUCCAUGAGUUCUUCAUCUUUUCAAUCCUGGUCCAUCCUCUGUCUCUUCCCGUUAAGAAGGCAGGGCCAUGCACAGCGUGGUGUAACCUAAGGCAAAGGCCAAGCAGGAAUUGCAUUGGACUCCACCUGUGGCUGCUUCUGUUUGUAGCUGCACAGUGAUCGUGAACCCGGGUCCUCUUUCUCUGUACACGGUCACCUUUGGUCCAGUGUGAUGAGUUGGUUGGGUCUCAGGCUGCUGAGUUGGUUGAAACUGGUCUAUCUCCUGUCCUGUGCCCAAGUUUCUGUUAUCUAGUCCACCCAAGGAUCCACCCAAGCAUUAUUGUCUUUGCAAGGUGUCAGUGAAGUCCUGUUUCUCGUACAAUAAGUUACUCAGAGGCAAGCAAGGCUGGGCAACAGUGAUGUGGGUUAAAGGGUUAGCUCUCUAAGUGUCUUUAGUGAGGUGGGGUAGGGUUAGUUCUUUAAGUGUCAAGUGUUAGUUCUUUAAGUGUUAAUUAGUUAAUUGUCAAUUCCCUGUAUCACUCCGUAGGGAUAUUGAAAAGAAUGAAUUAGAAUACCCUUGAGAAGAAGGAGUAAGGAAAGGGAAGAGCGCUGUGUGCAGCGUUGCUUUCCUGCAGCUCCCUCUGGCGCCUGCUGGGCCAAGCACAGGCGCUGCAGAACUGCGCAGGGAACCAAGGCAAGUGAUGCCUCAAGAGCCUUGUGACCUGUAGGAGACGGCAAGGUGCUAACAAACUAUAAUCAUCCAAAUUUAGUGUGAAACACUCUAACUGGCUAAAGAACAAAUGUGACCUAUUUUAUAACAGCUGCAUACAAAACAAGUGAUUUUUCUUUUGUAUUUAGGAAACUUCAGCAAAUGAGGUGGUGCAUAUGUGGUAAUGAUGUUUAUUUGUUAAGACACUUUACUAAUUUGCUUGUAUAGGUUCAGUAAUGAUACUGAUAAAUCAGGUUUUGAAAACCUGAAAGAGCAAUUUAAAUAAUCAGUUGUAACCAGGUCCCAGGUUCUAGAUUUCUACAGUAUGAACUGCUGCUGUCAUGAACCUGAAUUAGUUUUUCUGAAAUAAGUCUAAAAGUUCCUAUUGUUAGUGUUUCUGGUGAGCGUCUAUUGAAUCCAGAAGGUACUUAAAAAUAAAUUUUGGAAGAGACUUGAAAUUGUUAAACUAUUUAGAUCCUAAGAGAAGGAAGUGGAAGUGUCUUUGUGAUGCUGGUUAACAACAUUUGGAAGAAGCUCCAGCUCCCCUUUCUUGCAGAAAUGGUGAGAAGGUUACUAAGAAACGUGGGAGCCUGAGGAUGCCUUCCGUACUGUGCCUUUCUAAGGACCUAUGAAGAGUGCAGAUGCUUUUGUGAUCUGUUGAUGACAACUUGUGUAUGAUGGUAGGAUGCCGCUUUGAAUGCCACAGGAUGCCCUGAGAACUUGAGUCCCAGUUAGGACCCAGUUUUAUGCAGAGUCUGUGACUCCUGAUUGAUAAAUACUUCUGUGAAGGAGUGAGAGAUGGCUGAACGAGCUGGCAUCUCUUUUCCUCUAAAACAUGUGAUUCUUCUUUAAUUACUCCAAGGCCCGGAAAGCAUUGACAGAGAGACAAAAGGAUCUGGAAAUGAAGACACAGCAGCUAGAGGUGAAGCUCAGCAACAAGACAGAGGAGGAGAUGCAGAAGGCGAGACGGAAGUCGACUCAGGCUGGUUCAGAGCCCGUGCCUCAUUUGGUUAGAUCUGUAAACAUUGAACAUCUCCUCAGCAGGAAUCACAGCUGCAUUUCUCACAGCCAGAACCUGGGCCACAUGUGGCAGCGAUGGGGGAGCUGUAAGACCCGAAAGCCCAUGGCAAGCACAGCUGAAGCUGCACGGCUGCCCUGGGCAGCUCUUGCUGCUCCCUGGGUGCUCCCCCAGGGGAUGUCCCCUCCCUCUGGGCUCCGCGCUGCUGUCGUGCCGCCCUCAGACCUGCGAGAAGAUGAGCAACUUUAAGGAGGCGCAUUCCAGCCUGGUAGAGGACAUGCAUGCAAUGCAGGAGGCGCAUUCCAGCCGGGCAGAGGACAUGCAUGCAAUGCAGGAGGUGCAUUCCAGCCUGGCAGAGGACAUGCGGGAGAUCCAGGAGAUGCUUGGCCUGGUGAGGACAGGGCUUCCCUCCAGGAUCUGUGGGAGGAGAUGAGCAAGUUUAAGGAGGUGCAGUCUGGCCUGGCAGAGGACAUGCAGGCCAUGCAGAAGGCGCGUUCUGUCCUGGCAGAGGACAUCCAGGAGAUCCAGGAGACGCUUGGCCUGGAAGAACCUGUCCGUGCCCAGGGCUAUGCUGGAGGUGGUUCAGCUUGGUGUGGUGGAAGCAGAUCAGCACAGCGCCUGCCUGGUUGGACCAAUGCAUCUCAUUGUCCUUCUGUCCCAUGCUGAAGGUUCCUCAAGAGCUCAGCUCAGGCAUCCAGAUAAGAGGCAAGUCUCCAAAAUGGCCAGUGCUCAGUGUCCAAAGGACUUCAGGAAACCUGACCCAUUCUGUCCUCUCCAUAAGCCCAGCCUGAAGACAGCCAUGUCCUCAGGCCAUCACGCACCGAGCGUCAGGCUCAGAGCUGCAGCCCCUGUCUUCCUCAGGGACUGGGCAGAGCUGCUCCUCUCCCAGUAGCUCCCAUCAGCUCCCAUCAGCUGCCACCAGUGAGAUGCAUCAAAAUGAGGGGCAGCUGUGGGGGGAAGGAGCAGGGGCAGCUGAGUCACCUCAGGAUGGGUGUAAAUGCUCCCAGUCCCUUUGAAUAUGUCCGUGCGGAGACGAGAUGCAAGGGCACAAACGUCCAUUUUUUCUGCUCGGAUGAGUCCUGAGUUGACUUUUCCAGCGCAGGCGGCAGCUCUCGGUUUCAUCCCCGGUGCUUCUGUGAGACAUUUACCAACCUCUGGGACCCCUGAGGGCCACAGCAAAGUUCAUUCUCUCCUGCUUGUUUGGUUUCUCUUUGCUGCUGCUGCUGUGCAUUGGGUCUGACAGAACAGCAAGGAAGACAUCUGAGGAUGCUGCUGGCUGGCGAGCAAGGCUUUCAGAUCCAGCCCUGGCACAGAGAGCUGCUGUCCCCAAGGAGGUGACAUGCUCCUCAUGAGGCCGGUCCCUUGAGACCUGCCUCAUGCCUGCAGACCAGCGUGGAAAUCACUGGACACAGCCAGAGAAACAGAGAAUCAUAGAACCAUAGAAUGCCCUGAGUUGGAAGGGACCCACGGGGGUCACUGAGUCCAACUCCUGUCCCUGCACAGGACAACUCCAGAAUUCACGCCACGUGUCUCAGGGCGUUGUCCAGGCGCUUCCUGAAUAUUUUCACUCUUGGGGCCGUGACACCUCCCUGGGGAGCCUGUUCAGUGUCCAGCACCUCUGGGUGAAGAACCUUUUCCUCAUGUCCCACUGACCCUCCCUGGCCCAUCUUCUGCCAUUCCCUGGGCUCUGUUACUGGUCACUAGAGAGAUCAGCUGAACCUCUCUGCUCCUGCUCGUGUACCACGGGGCUGCAUCCCAUCGGUGGGGACAUCCUCCUGCCUGCUUUGCUGGCACCUUAGCUCCUUCCCUGGAGGAGCAGCCCACUCUGCCCCUCCCUGGCAGUUAUUAUCCCCGCUUUGCAGACCGAAUACAACGUGAUCAUUGAAGUGUAGGCACAUGGUGGCUGCAGAAAGUUGCAUCAGCUUUUACUUUUCCUUGCCAGCUGAAAUGCAAACUGUCACUCAUCUCCCACUGCUCCGGGGAUCUAUUCAGAAGAACACGAGACAUGUCGUGGCCCACACUGCACUUACAUGUCAAGGUUUCAGAAAGAAAUGAACUCCGCUUCCACAUAUAGCAGCUGAGAAACAUUUACUGCCCUUGCCUCUGCAACAAAGGUUUUCACCAUUGUUUUCUUCUGCACUGGCGUCACACUGCACAGGGUCAUUUUUCUGCUGAUGGGAGGUAACUCACUGAGCUUCAGUGGCCCAACAUGGGGCUGAGCUCAAGAGGCUCGAGGGAAAUUGGGUUUCCAGGAUGAGUUCUUGCUGAGACCUGAACCAAAGUACCGUGUUUCUAAUUGACUUUAUUCCUAUCAAUUCGAGCCUGUAGAGAAAGUGCCAGCAAAGACACAGAGGGAAUGUCCUCAGUUGACUCUGCACCCGGUGCUCCCGCCCUGAACUCCCCCUUCCUCUGCUGCCCCAACGAGCAGCAGCACCAGCCCUGCAGUACAUCUCUUUUCCUUGUCGCUCACGAAAGCGCAGAUUUGGGGAAGGGAGGGGAUUCAUCUGUGUCUUCCUCACUCUCAAAGGGAUCAGGUGCCUGAGCAGCCUCCAGGCAUUAUAAACACAGACCAACUGCACUCAGACUUUCCUGGAGGAUGCAUUAGCUGAAUCCACUUCUCUGGGCUCAGGACAGGAAAAACCAGUGGAGAGGAGGGAGCAAGUACGUGAUCAAUGGUCUCUUUGAUGCACAAAUCUGUAAACUUA